GGGGAGGCAUGUGUAAGUUUCAUUUGCUUCCUAGUUAAAUGCAGCUUGGAGCCGCCGGCCGGUCUGCGGCAGGAGACAGAGUGAGACAGUCAGACUGCUGAGCAGAGGACAAAGAGGAACCAGGAAGGCAGAGGUUGCCAAUCAGCUAUUCUGAGGCUACUAGAAGAGCGGGUGGCAAGGAGCCAGGCCAAGGAGCUGCGAGCGUGCUGACUCACGAACCCGCUCCCCCUCCAGAUCUGGCCGGCCUGGGAGCCAGGACAGUGCCGCCAGCCGGACCCCGGAGCCGCCGGCCUCUGAACCGCACGGUGUGGGACGGAGACGGGACCUUGGGACUGGCCCAGUCCCGGUCGCUGCUUCCUGAAGCAGGGGGUGGUGCCACGCUCCCCACAUGGCAGCUGGGUGACCCCCAUAAGGCCGGUCAAACUGGACGCCUCGGGCCCACGU